rnacentral:rRNA from 1 species
UGGGGAAUUUUGGACAAUGGGCGCAAGCCUGAUCCAGCCAUGCCGCGUGCGGGAAGAAGGCCUUCGGGUUGUAAACCGCUUUUGUCAGGGAAGAAACGGUCUGGGCUAAUACCCCGGACUAAUGACGGUACCUGAAGAAUAAGCACCGGCUAACUACGUGCCAGCAGCCGCGGUAAUACGUAGGGUGCAAGCGUUAAUCGGAAUUACUGGGCGUAAAGCGUGCGCAGGCGGUUAUGCAAGACAGAUGUGAAAUCCCCGGGCUUAACCUGGGAACUGCAUUUGUGACUGCGUAGCUUGAGUACGGUAGAGGGGGAUGGAAUUCCGCGUGUAGCAGCGAAAUACGUAGAUAUGCGGGGAAACACCGAUGGCGAAGGCAAUCCCCUGGAGCUGUACUGACGCUAAUGCACUAAAGAGUGGGGAGCAGACA